GUUAAGCGACUAAGCGUACACGGUGGAUGCCCUGGCAGUCAGAGGCGAUGAAGGACGUGCUAAUCUGCGAUAAGCGUCGGUAAGGUGAUAUGAACCGUUAUAACCGGCGAUUUCCGAAUGGGGAAACCCAGUGUGUUUCGACACACUAUCAUUAACUGAAUCCAUAGGUUAAUGAGGCGAACCGGGGGAACUGAAACAUCUAAGUACCCCGAGGAAAAGAAAUCAACCGAGAUUCCCCCAGUAGCGGCGAGCGAACGGGGAGCAGCCCAGAGCCUGAAUCAGUGUGUGUGUUAGUGGAAGCGUCUGGAAAGGCGCGCGAUACAGGGUGACAGCCCCGUACACAAAAAUGCACAUGCUGUGAGCUCGAUGAGUAGGGCGGGACACGUGGUAUCCUGUCUGAAUAUGGGGGGACCAUCCUCCAAGGCUAAAUACUCCUGACUGACCGAUAGUGAACCAGUACCGUGAGGGAAAGGCGAAAAGAACCCCGGCGAGGGGAGUGAAAAAGAACCUGAAACCGUGUACGUACAAGCAGUGGGAGCACGCUUAGGCGUGUGACUGCGUACCUUUUGUAUAAUGGGUCAGCGACUUAUAUUCUGUAGCAAGGUUAACCGAAUAGGGGAGCCGAAGGGAAACCGAGUCUUAACUGGGCGUUAAGUUGCAGGGUAUAGACCCGAAACCCGGUGAUCUAGCCAUGGGCAGGUUGAAGGUUGGGUAACACUAACUGGAGGACCGAACCGACUAAUGUUGAAAAAUUAGCGGAUGACUUGUGGCUGGGGGUGAAAGGCCAAUCAAACCGGGAGAUAGCUGGUUCUCCCCGAAAGCUAUUUAGGUAGCGCCUCGUGAAUUCAUCUCCGGGGGUAG
rnacentral:rRNA from 1 species